rnacentral:rRNA from 1 species
UACGUAGGUGGCAAGCGUUGUCCGGAAUUAUUGGGCGUAAAGCGCGCGCAGGCGGUCCUUUUAAGUCUGAUGUGAAAAGCCCACGGCUCAACCGUGGAGGGUCAUUGGAAACUGGGGGGACUUAGUGCAGGAGAGAAGAGUGGAAUUCCACGUGUAGCGGUGAAAAUGCGUAGAGAUGUGGAGGAACACCAGUGGCGAAGGCGACUCUUUGGCCUGUAACUGACGCUGAGGCGCGAAAGCGUGGGGAGCAAACAGG